rnacentral:rRNA from 1 species
GUAUUUUGACUAUACGAAGGUAUUGAAAUAAGACUUUAAAUGGGUGCUAAGAGAAUGGUUGAACAAUUAUUAACUUUCUUUAAUUAAAUAAUUGAAUUUAAUUUUUUUUGUGAAGAAGCAAAAAUAGAAAUUAGGGACAAGAAGACCCUAUGAAUUUUAAUUGGGUUAUUAGUUUGAUUUUAUUAAACUAUUAUUUAAUUUGGUUGGGGUGAUGAAAAAAGAAUAUAUAUCUUUAAUUAAUUUUUUAAAAAUUAGUUCCGCUUUUUGCGAUUGAUUGAAAAAAAUACUCUAGGGAUAACAGCGUAAUAAUUUUGGAUAGUUCAUAUAGAUAAAAUAGUUUGCGACCUCGAUGUUGGAUUAGGAUUCUUAUUCGGCGAAGAAGUUAAAAA